GGAUAGCUCAGUUGGUUAGAGGAUGGUGCUGAUAACACUAAGGUUGCAAGUUGGAUCCUCGUAAGCAACA